rnacentral:lncRNA from 1 species
CUCCUUAACAAAUUGGCGAACUUGGGCAAGGUCUAGGUUGAGGGCCACAAGUCCGCUCUUCCCACGCUUACCAAACAGCAUGUCAGGCUUCACGACCAACUUCAUAGAUGAGAGCCAUGGCUCCUGGUUUGCAAGCUCAGUGAAGUCCGUUGAUUGUGUGACCUACAAAUAAGCAUACUUGACAUUCAGUCAAAUUCAUCCUGACGAAUAUUCAGAAACAGGGAUGCUUUUGAGAGAGAAAAGUUAACUACUAUAGAGCAUCAAAACUUGAAGCAUUUGGUUCAAGAAAAAAAAAGUUGAAGCAUUCCGCUCAAUCAAAUUCAAUCUGUGUUUCUACAACCAACAAACCCAGCUAAUGUAAAAUACUCAGCAAGCCCACCUACCCAAGAGAAACCACAUAAAGAUCAUGAAUUUCCUGUUGCUAUCUGCUGACUGAAAACCAACACAAUGUUUUAGCAUUAACCAAUGAAGUACCAGUGUUUGAUGCAGAUCCAAUUUAUCAGAGCAAAUUAGAGAUACUAUUACUUAAAGUAUCACAGCCUAGUGAAUGUUGAGACUCUGGAUCAUAGCAGCACUGCACCUUACAAAUCCAUUAUAGCAAACCAAUUAUUAUGACUUCAACAUUUCUCUAAACUAGGAAGAGGAAUUGAACAUUCCCAGCCAAAGUACUAGCCAGCUUUCACCAACUAACAACGAAUAACUAAUGGGCCAAUCAUACACACAAUAAACAAAAGAUGGGUCUCAGUAAUAUAACAUAUCCAAUAUUCGUACGUCACAAUGGAUCAGGUCAUAAACAUAUCUUCGGACAGGCCACACAUGUCUUGGAUAACUACGCAUUGAGCAUCAUUUGACUCGUCCAACCAAAACAUUAUCAGUUCAUUAAAUCAUUAAUUGGAAACGGCGGUGGUGAAAAGUUAUGUAGACAAGCAUUCUACCGCAUAUUACUGCAAACAGCAGCUCUUGCAGCAUAGUGCAUUGCAAUUGUUUCAAAUCUAAUUCCCGCAUGAUCCGUACAAAAAGUACCGUGUCAAAAUCCCAAGUACACAACAGAAUUCCAUUGCCCAGAAAGUUUCCAGCAAAUUUUAGCACCAAUUAACAACAACAACAACAAUCAUGACUCUCAAAUCAAAUAGCUGCGGUUGGCUUCUGCCCAGCCGAGGUCUUCGUCCACUCCGGAAUCUUAAACUACCAACAAACAGCAAAGCAACUACUGCAAGCCUAGAAGAGUUGCACGUUUGCAACAGCUUCAAACUGCAAUCAUGAGCAGGAAACACCAACAACUGCUCGAGCUCAGAACUCCCAGUCUCAGAGCGUAAAUUGCGCCCACCUAGUCUCUCCCAGCACAAGUACUCACUCCACACGCCCCCAGAGCCACACCUCAUCCCAAGAAGCCAGAAUUGCCCAUCCAAUCGAACCCCUCGCGCGCCGGAGGGCAGGAUCCGCGCCCGGCGCCGCUGAGAUCCGCCGACUGACCUUCCCAAUACCCCCAGAUCACGAGCCGAUCCAGCAAGCAGCAGGCUGCAGCGCGGCGGGAGAGAGAGGAAGAAAACAGGGAAUGACCUGCGCGGAGAGGAUCUGGAGGUCGAUGCCGGCGAGGCGCUUGAGGUGCUCCCGGAGGAGGCGCUUGGAGUCGUACUCCCGGAUCUUCUUCCGCGCCAUCGCCG